rnacentral:tRNA from 1 species
GCAUCGGUAGUCUAACGGUUAGGAUAGAAGCCUUCCAAGCUUUUGAUCCGGGUUCGAAUCCCGGCCGAUGCA